rnacentral:rRNA from 1 species
AACGGGGGGGGGCCAGCGUUAUUCGGGUUACUAGGCGUAAAGGGUGCGUAGAUGUCUUCUUUUUGAGCUGAUGCAAAAUGCUAGAUUAUCGUUUAGUAUGCGUUUUCUACGUAGAAGAUUGAGUUAGGAGCAGGUUAAUUAGAAUUUCUGGUGUAGGGGUUAAAUCCGACAAUUCCAGAAAGAAUACUCGCGGUGAAGGCGAAUAUCUAGCUUACAACUGACGUUGAGGCACGGAGGCGUGGGUAGCAAACAGG